rnacentral:tRNA from 1 species
GUCACCGUUAUUUCGGCAGGGAGAACCCGCGGGCUGAUAACCGGAAGGUCGCCAGUCCAAAUCUGGCCGGGCCCA